rnacentral:rRNA from 1 species
ACGAGUGGCGGACGGGUGAGUAAUGUCUGGGAAACUGCCUGAUGGAGGGGGAUAACUACUGGAAACGGUAGCUAAUACCGCAUAACGUCGCAAGACCAAAGAGGGGGACCUUCGGGCCUCUUGCCAUCGGAUGUGCCCAGAUGGGAUUAGCUAGGAGGUGGGGUAACGGCUCACCUAGGCGACGAUCCCUAGCUGGUCUGAGAGGAUGACCAGCCACACUGGAACUGAGACACGGUCCAGACUCCUACGGGAGGCAGCAGUGGGGAAUAUUGCACAAUGGGCGCAAGCCUGAUGCAGCCAUGCCGCGUGUAUGAAGAAGGCCUUCGGGUUGUAAAGUACUUUCAGCGGGGAGGAAGGGAGUAAAGUUAAUACCUUUACUCAUUGACGUUACCCGCAGAAGAAGCACCGGCUAACUCCGUGCCAGCAGCCGCGGCAAUACGGAGGGUGCAAGCGUUAAUCGUAAUUACUGGGCGUAAAGCGCACGCAGGCGGUUUGUUAAGUCAGAUGUGAAAUCCCCGGGCUCAACCUGGGAAUUGCAUCUGAUACUGGCAAGCUUGAGUCUCGUAGAGGGGGGUAGAAUUCCAGGUGUAGCGGUGAAAUGCGUAGAGAUCUGGAGGA